GGCGGACGGGUGAGUAACGCGUAAGAACCUGCCCUUGGGAGGGGAACAACAGCUGAAAACGGCUGCUAAUACCUCAUAGGCUGAGGAGCAAAAGGAGGAAUCCGCCCAAGGAGGGGCUCGCGUCUGAUUAGUUAGUUGGUGAGGCAAUGGCUUACCAAGGCGACGAUCAGUAGCUGGUCCGAGAGAAUGAUCAGCCACACUGGGACUGAGACACGGCCCAG
rnacentral:rRNA from 1 species